rnacentral:misc_RNA from 2 species
CUAUCGGAUCGUUUUAGAAACAUCAGUGGCCAACAGAUCGCCAGAUCGUUGAGCUGCAUUGGCGGGAUUUCGCCGUCUUCGUUUCUCUUUCUUCGCGGACGAACACGCGCUGGGCCUGCAACGGCAGGAUCCAGGGUCCUUAACGGGAUGUGCGUUAGGGGCUUGUAGCUCAGUUGGUUAGAGCGCGCGCUUGAUAAGCGUGAGGUCGGAAGUUCAAGUCUUCCCAGGCCCACCACUUUCAUCGAGUGAGCAUUCGUCUUCUGGUUACGGGGCCAUAGCUCAGCUGGGAGAGCGCGUGCUUUGCAAGCAUGAGGUCGUCGGUUCGAUCCCGUCUGGCUCCACCAGAUGGUUUGAUCACCGAGAUCUUGACCGUCGUCCGCGAAACAUCACUUCGCAUCCUGCUAGUCUGGAUAGACAGCAGUUUGCGUGUUUUCUGACAUCGUAAAGAGGAGAUCGAUCCGAGUUGGGUCGUGCAGCAUAUCGUUGCGCGAGCCUUCAUUAUCUCCGGAUCAUUUCGGCGCUCGCUUCCAGCCGUGAGGUUGGAUGCGGGUUGUAAAUGAUCCUUUUAGCGAAGCUUGACCGCCUCGCUAUCGGAACGAUCUUACGAAGCAAGCUGGUCUUUCUAGUCAAUGUCCGGCUGCGGAUAGCGUUCAUCGAGGGCGCGUGCCGCAAGGCAAUUCUGCAGACAACAUUCUGCCGAGUGUGUGGACAUUGAUAAUGAGAGCAAUCAAGUGCCUUAAGGGUGUUCGGUGGAUGCCUUGGCGCUGAGAGGCGAUGAAGGACGUGCUACGCUGCGAUAAGCCGUGGGGAGCUGCGAAGAAGCUUUGAUCCGCGGAUUU